rnacentral:misc_RNA from 1 species
GAGGCGAAUACACCAUCUCGAAGAAAGAGCAUCCGCGCCUCCACCCAGCACCACCACGACCACCAACAUCGCCGCCGCCGCCACCGCCACCAGACGCACCCCCCCCUACACACACACAAAAACGAAAAGCUCGGCAAGGGAAAGAGGAACGAGUGGAGCUCUCAGUUCGGUCUAUCUGCGCACUUCUCCUUCCUCGCCUUCCCCUCGCCAACAUACAGAACAUGCCUCAGCAUAACGACGGCGGAUACGUGGUGGUGAGCGACGGAUCGACGUCGCCGCAUCCUCAAACAGCGACGAAGCAGCCUACCAGGCCAGAGGACAUGGACCUUCCACCAGCCAUCCUUGAGGAGCUUAGCCGCAUCUUCCCGCGCCCACCAGAUGACGCCUUCGUACAUGUUGGGCGCUGCGCCAGCACCGGCAAGGACAUCACGCUCUGCUACAGUGCCUUUGGCGACCCGUCAGACCCAUGCAUUCUUCUCAUCAUGGGCAUGAACGCGACGUCGCUCAUGUGGGACACCCGUUUUUGCGGCUACCUGGCUGCAGCCGGCUUCUACGUGAUUCGCUACGACAACCGCGACGUUGGCCUCUCCACGCACCUUGACGAGUACCCGUCGCCGUUCAUACUUCGCAUGGCGCUGCCUACGUGGGCGUCCAUCGGCGAAGGCUCCUUAGCCUACACGCUGGAGGACAUGGCCGAGGACGCCGUCGGCCUUCUGAAGGCGCUGAGGAUCAGCCAAGCGCACAUUGUCGGCUGCUCGAUGGGUGGCAUGAUUGCGCAGCUGUUGACAUUGCGGCACCCAGACAUGGUCGCGAGCCUAUGCCUUCACUCCACCUCUGCUGGUCCCGCCUGGCCCAGGGCGUCGCUGCUGAUGAACAUCCUCGACCAGCCAGAGAGCACCCGUGAUGUGCACUCGGUGCUGGACUACCGCGUGCGCUUCUUCAAGGCAGUCGCAGGCGACAUGACCUUUCACGAGCGCGAGUUCCGUCUCGGCAUGUGGUUCGACUUUGCGCGAGCGCCGUACCAGGGAGGCGGGCGCCGACAUCUGGCCGCGAUUGUGCGCUCCAAGGACCGCAGCGCUGCCCUCAAGGCUCACAUCAACCGACUGAACAGCACCAUGACACGUGGCAGCGAGCGUGGCAGCUCAUCACUGCCGGCAUCGGGCACGACGCCGUCGCGGUGCAUCCCUGUGGUGGUGCUGCACGGUGGGAAAGACCCGCUGGUGGUGCUCUCUAACGCGCAGCAUCUCGCCAGCUGCAUCAACGGUGCUCGACUGGUCGUCUUUCCGAAGAUGGGCCACUACUUCUCCAAGGAAAUGUAUCGAGCCAUCGCGGACGAGAUUAUUCUGAACGCGCGCACGGAUGCGACAGCCAUGAUGAGCGCGUUUCCAUCUUGAGCUGCCGCUAAUGAUGCACAACCCGACACACACCUAUAAAUGCAGACAUGCCCAGCGUUGUCAGGUAGCCUUGGGGCGUGGGGGUGCCGGGAGGCGCAUUAUCGGUUUUGGUGAACACCGUCGUCACGGGCACACGCCUAUGUACGUGCGCACGCACACGCAGGCGUACAGAGGUACGUGUGCAUCUUUCUCCACCCUUUCUUCGCUACAACAUGACGAGAGCACCAUCGAGUUGCGCCAUCGAGCUCUUCAGACUCCCAUGUGGAGAAUCAAUACAACAUAUUGCGGGGAUGCCACGGCUUGGUGCGACUCAGGGAGCAGCAUGGCACAUAGGCAGAGUGUGCAGGGUCUUCGAGGGCCUUGACCUGAAGCUGGCCAGCUUCCUCCUCGAGCUCAUGCAGCAUGCACCUAGACCACCACCCCCUAUUACCCGGCCGACAGACACCACCACUUCCGCCCCCUUUAGCAGCACCGCUGACGCGGCCAGCUUGUAUCAGGCUAUGCGGUCCACCCGGGGUCUCCGUCUGGCGCCGAUCGCGCAGCACGUACCCAAAGAAGGGACAAACAAGGACAAGAUGAGCCGAUAAGACGCAUACCUCCGACUCGUCGUCUAGGCCGGCUCGUUCCAUGACGACGAGGAUUAUAUCCGUGGUGCGACGGAGGCAAGGCGAGCUGUCGCUGCGUAUGCGUCUCUGUUUUGACUUGUUCGUGGCUGGGACUCGGUCACACGUUGUGGAUUCGCAUAAUGCGAACAAGAGAACCGCGGCGGCAACAACACUUCCUCCCUCUUAUUUCACCUCGAGGAGGUUUGUGUGUGUGUGUGCGUGUGCCUCCCUCCCGGCGUUCGCGUCUCUCACUCUGGAUGCCGCUGCCCUUGGAUGUGGUCCGCUCCACCUUACUCCACCACCGACACCCGCAUGCGCCCUCACAAUCUUCCCAACCCCUUCAGCACACAAACGCGUGAGCAAAGUGCGGCUGCUCUGUGAGGGUGCGCGCGCGCGCGUGUGGGUGCCGUGUGGACUGCGGCACGGCCCUACAAACUCAGGAGAGAGGGAAGAGGCAAGGGAGGCUAGUGACUCCCAUUAAGGGACCCUUUUGGGCGUGCUUGCACGUGCAUGCGCACAAGCCGGCUGCUGCUGUCUGGCUUUGCGCGGCUCGGCAGCUCUUUGCCCUUCUUUCCUCCUCCUCCUCACUGAGGCGCUGCUGCUGGAGCAGCGACAGACACGCUGACGCUAACCCCCUCCAUGCUCGCCGACGCAGUUGCACAGGCCCUCCCUACCGCCCUCGUUUGCCGUUCAAGUCCGAAUCCGCAAAUGCUGUCUUCUGCAGCCGGGGGCGUUCGCGGCGCUGAUUCAGGCACCCGCACGACGGCCACCUCUCCCUGCAUCGUAUCUCUCUCGCAGCUCUCAUUUUUGAGUUGCCGCCAUCGGGGCUCCGCACACGCGCUUUUCGUGCAUCUGUGCAGGCCAGUCAGUGCCGCACCCGCCUCAGCCGUUCGUUCCUCCUCCUCAUCGCCGCAGCAGCCUUCCCACUCUCUCUCCUCCCUGUUUUGCCCCUCCUGAGCCACCUGACCUACCUGACCUGCGCACGCACGCACGCAUGCCGUACCCCUCGCCCCUUCCCUCUUCUCCAAACCUUUUCACUUGCUGCUUGAACCCUGCGGCCUUCACUGUCGCCUCCCCCCCCCCCCCUUACAUAG